rnacentral:rRNA from 1 species
CCCUUAGAUGUCCUGGGCCGCACGCGUGCUACACUGACGCCUACAGCGAGUACUUCCCAGCCCCGAGAGGCGGCUGGUAAUCAGCAAUAGGCGUCGUGAUGGGGAUAGAUCUUUGGAAUUCUGGAUCUUGAACGAGGAAUGCCUAGUAAGCGCAGGUCAUUAGCCUGCGCUGAUUACGUCCCUGCCCUUUGUACACACCGCCCAUCGCUCCUACCGAUUUCGAGUGGUCCGGUGAAUCUUUCGGACUGCGCGCAGCUUCGUGCCGUGUCGCGGAAAGUCAGGUAAACCUAAUCACUUAGAGGAAGGACAAGUCGUAACA